GCCCGCCUAGCUCAAUCGGAUAGAGCGUCAGACUCUUAUGGCGGGUAGCUGUGAUCUGAAGGCUGCGAGUUCGACCCUCGCGGUGGGCU